rnacentral:rRNA from 1 species
UGGGGAAUAUUGCACAGUGGGCGCAAGCCUGAUGCAGCCAUGCCGCGUGUGUGAAGAAGGCCUUCGGGUUGUAAAGCACCUUCAGCGAGGAGGAAGGUGGUGAGCUUAAUACGCUCAUCAAUUGACGUUACUCGCAGAAGAAGCACCGGCUAACUCCGUGCCAGCAGCCGCGGUAAUACGGAGGGUGCAAGCGUUAAUCGGAAUUACUGGGCGUAAAGCGCACGCAGGCGGUUUGUUAAGUCAGAUGUGAAAUCCCCGGGCUCAACCUGGGAACUGCAUUUGAAACUGGCAAGCUAGAGUCUCGUAGAGGGGGGUAGAAUUUCCAGGUGUAGCGGUGAAAUGCGUAGAGAUCUGGAGGAAUACCGGUGGCGAAGGCGGCCCCCUGGACGAAGACUGACGCUCAGGUGCGAAAGCGUGGGGCAGCAAACAGGAUUAGAUACCCUGGUAGUCCAGCGCUGUAAACGAUGUCGAUUUUGGAGGUUGUGCCCUUGAGGCGUGGCUUCCGGAGCUAACGCGUUAAAUCGACCGCCUGGGGAGUACGGCCGCAAGGUUAAAACUCAAAUGAAUUGCGGGGUCUAGCUG